rnacentral:lncRNA from 1 species
AUGCAGGAAAGGCUCUUGGAAAUUUGGGAAAGGAUCUUGGAAAUUGGGGAAAGGAUCCCAGAAAUUGGGGAAAGGAUCCCAGAAAUUGGGGAAGGGAUCCCUGAUCCCGGAGAAGCUGCACCCGGGCUGGGGCUGAGGUAUCUGCUGGGGGCGUGGGGGGGAGUAGCACCAAGAAACCCCAAAAAAAGGAAAAUCAACCCAAAAAAACGGGAAGGGGAAAAGAAAGAGGCGGGAGGAGCGCGGAGAGAGCGAGGAGCUGCGGGAGCCUGGACAGGGCUGGGCAUGGGAUGGACAUGGGAUGGACACGGGGAUGGACAUGAGAUGGAUGCAGUGAUGGCCACCAGGAUGGACACGGGGAUGGACACAGGGAUGGACACCGGAUGGACAUGA